UAUGGUAAUUGUGCGCCAGCCUCCGCUUUACUACGUAUGUCGCAAGCGUUAUCCGGAUUUAUUGGGCGUAAAGCGCGUCUAGGCGGUUUGGUAAGUCUGAUGUGAAAAUGCGGGGCUCAACUCCGUAUUGCGUUGGAAACUGCCAAACUAGAGUACUGGAGAGGUGGGCGGAACUACAAGUGUAGAGGUGAAAUUCGUAGAUAUUUGUAGGAAUGCCGAUGGGGAAGCCAGCCCACUGGACAGAUACUGACGCUAAAGCGCGAAAGCGUGGGUAGCAAACAGG
rnacentral:rRNA from 1 species